rnacentral:sRNA from 1 species
GAAGCUUGCAGUGAGCCGAGAUCACGCCACUGCACUCCAGCCUGGGCGACACAGCAAGACUCUGUCUCAAAAAAAAAAAAAAUUAAGAAAGAAAAAAGCGACGGCGAGACUCAUCUCAAAAAAAAAAAAAAAGAAAAGUCGUAAGAGAAAAUAUAUUUCCUAUUUAUGCAGUGGAAGCGGAUCAACAUAAAGAGCUUCAUCCUCAUGGCCUUCACCUUGAGUGGGCUGAGGAGGAGGACGAGGGGCUGGUCUUGUUGUCUUGGGUAGCAGGGGUGGAAGAAAAUCCACGUGUCCGUGAUCAUACAUAGCUCACUCCUGUGUUGCUGAAGGGUCACCUGUCAUAGAAGAGGGAAGAAUUGUGUGGCCUGUGCGGAUUCUGCAUUCAGCCUUGUGUGUUGUGUUACGGUUACCCAGGGACAUGUGUGGCUCCACUAACAACUCUGAUUCCUGGAAGGAAUGGCGUGGCAGCCUCCAUUGCCAUGGCAAGGCAAAGCCAUGGCAGCUUCCUGGUUAUCACUCCUGGCAUGUGGUAGGUGCUUGUCCAGUGAAAUCCUAGUCGUUGCUGCAUUGGCAGGUGCCCUGGCGUGAGGAAGGGCAGGCAGUCACCCUGCCCUUUGCUCUCCUGGGCCCUGCAUCUGCUUAUGGAUGAGGCUGUGUGUAGCUGACAUGCGUGUCUCUCCUGCAUCUGAGUAAUUGUCUUCUUCUUUUUUUUUUUUUUUUUUGAGAUGGAGUUUUGCUCUUGUUGCCAAAGUUGGAGUGCAAUGCCACGAUCUCGGCUCAUUGCAAACUCCACCUCGUGGGUUUAAGCAGUUCUCCUGCCUCAGCCUCCCGAGUAACUGGGACUAAAGGUGCCCGCAACCAUGCCCGGCUAAUUUUUUGUAUUUUUAGUAGAGAUGGAGUUUCACCAUGUUAGCUAGGAUGAUCUCGAUCUCCUGACGUUGUGGUCUGCCCGCCUCAGCCUCCCAAAGUGCUGGGAUUAUAGGCGUGAGCCACCACGCCCGGCCAAGUGAUUGUUUUAUGUUUAUUCUGUUUUGGGUUGAACUAUAGUUUGCUUUGAGAAAAUAAUGUCUGUUAAAUUUGCGUUAGAGGAUAAUUGUUCACUGAGCCAAAUAAUCUUUCUUGUGAGAACGUAUUCUGGGUUUCCCCUGGGCCCUCUGCUGUGGUUGCGGCGGGAGUUGGUUUGUGUGUAUUUUCAGGACUGCUGACUUGAUCAGACAGGCACAACACAAUCCCGGCCCUCAGGCAGGCCUUCUCCCUGGUCGGAUGCUGAACUGCAUGGCGUCUGUUCAGAUGAAGAUUCUUUUGCCACCUCCUUAAAUGAAAGAACGAUACUGAAUGUGGCUUAGAAACAGCUUUGCCAGCCGUGCAGAAUGAUUGUAAGUAGUGGUUGCCCAAAAAGUAUUUGCUUGGAAUACCACUCACUGAUAACACAGGUGAACCUGGAAGGAAUUAUACGGAGUGAAACAAGGCACCACUCACUGAUAACACGAAUGAACCUGGAAGGAAUUAUACGGAGUGAAGAAAGGCCCCCCUCACUGAUAACACGGGUGAACCUGGAAGGAAUUACACGGAGUGAAAAAAGACCCUGCUCACUGGUAACGCGGGUGAACCCAGAAGGAAUUACACGGAGUGGAAAAAAGGCCCCGCUCACUGAUAACGCGGGUGAACCUGGAAGGAAUUACACAGAGUGAAAAAAGGCCGAGCUGAAAAAUCACAUUCCGUAUGAUUUUUUUUAAUACAGCAUUCUCUAAAGACAAAAAUUAAAGAGAUGGAACACAGAUUCGUGGUUGCUAGGGGCUAAGGAUGGGGGAAGGAGACAGCCCGAGGGAGCCUGUGGUUGGAUUGCCUCAGCUGUGGUGGGCACAUGAGGGCACACACUGCGCGUGUGUCACGGGAUGACCCCAGGGAGCUUGGUGGACCGUCGUGAUGGGAGAGCCUGGCUGUGAUACUGUUCAUAGUUUUGUGAGAUGGAACCCCUGGAAGCAGGGGGACAAGGUAUUGCUCUGCAUCAUUUAUUUUUAUUUAUUUAUUUAUUUUUGAGUCGGGGUCUGGCUCUGUCACCCAGGAUGGAGUGCAGUGGCUCGAUCUCUGCUUACUGCAACCUCCACCUCCUGGGUUCAAGCGAUUCUCCUGCCUCAGCCUCCUGAGUAGCUGGGAUUACAGGCGCGUGCCACCACACCCAGCUAAUUUUGUUUGUUUUUAGUAGAGACGGGGUUUCAGUAUGUUGGUCAGGCUGGUCUCGAACUCUUGACCUCAUCAUCUGCCUGCCUCGGUCCCCACAAAGUGCUGGGAUUACAGGUGUGAGCCACUGCGCCCAGCCUGCUCUGUGCCAUUUCUUACAACUACAUGUGAAGGUACAGUUACUUCACGGUCAGAAAUUUAACUAGGAAAAACGCAGUUGCUAACAUUUCUUUUUUUUUUUUCUUUUUUUGAGACGGAGUUUCGCUCUUGUUGCCCAGCCUGGAGUGCAGUGGCGCGAUCUCAGCUCACCGCAACCUCCGCCUCCCGGGUUCAAGCCAUUCUCUUGCCUUAGCUUCCCGAGUAGCUGGGAUUACAGGCAUGCGUCACCACACCUGGCUGAUUUUUUGUAUUUUUAGUAAAGAUGGGGUUUCUGCAUGUUGGUCAGGCUUGUCUUGGACUCCCGACCUCAGGUGAUGCACCCGCCUCAGCCUCCCGAAGUGCUGGGAUGACAGGCGUGAGCCACCGCGCCCGGCAGCAGUUGCCAACAUUUUCACACAGCUUCUUGUGGAGAAGGCCCCUUUCCACUGUGAGGUGUGAAUGCGUCAAGGUGGAGCCCCUGCCCCGGAGGCCUCUCCUCUGUCAGGGUCAGCUGUGGCGCUCGGGGCUGCUGUCUUCAGGGGCGGUUUCCAAGUGGGAUGAGCCUGAUGUGGCCCCUGUGGCUGCUUCCUUGAGACUCAGUGGUAUCAGCCGUUUGUUUUUAGAUGACUGAUUGAAGUGGGUUAUGUGAUCAUAAUAUCUAAUUGUCAACAAUUGACUUUUUUUCCUCGAAGAGGGAUUUUGGCAACAAAACUUGCCAGUGGUCCUGCAGGCUGCCGUCCACGAGGUGUGCACAUGAGGCUCAGGAAGCAUGUGCGUUUCCUGAGCGCCUUGGCGGACAGCCUCAGGAACACAGGCAGCAGGUGCUGAGGCCACACCCCAGUUCUGUGUGAGCUGGCGGCUCGUCUCAGCGUCCUGAAUAACCGUCCUGGAAGCACACAGGAGGAAGGUACCUGCAGCCCUGGGCGCGCAGGCACAAAUGACCACAACACUGAAGGUGUGGCGGGAAGAGGUGCGUCGGGCAGCUCAGAGGAAGGGACACGCUGGGCGUUUGGGCUGGACAGAAGUUAAGGACUUCAUGGGAAGGAGAUGGGGGGUCUUGCAGGCAGAGGAAGUUCCUUUUAUACCUAGAGUGCUUUUGUUUGUUUGUUUGUUUGUUUUGAGAUGGAGUUUCACUCUUCGUUGCCCAGGCAGGAGUGAAGUGGCGCGAUCUCAGCCCACUGCAACCUCCGCCCGCCAUGUUUGAGCGAUUCUCCUGCCUCAACCUCUCUAGUAGCUGGGCUUACAGGCGCGUGCUACCACGCCCAGCUAAUUUUUGUAUUUUUAGUAGAGACAGGGUUUCACCAUGUUGGCCAGGCUGGUGUUGAACUCCUGACCUCAGGUGAUCCACUCACCUCAGCCUCCCAAAGUGCCUGGAUGACAGUCGUGAGCCACUGCGCCCAGCCCCAGCUACGUUGUGUUUUUUUUUUCCCCCUGUAGAGAUGGGUUUUCGCUAUGUUACCCAGGCUGGUUUCUAACUCCUGGACUCAAGUGAUCCACCUGUCUCGACUCCCAAAGUGCUGGGAUGACAGGUGUGAGCCACUGCGCCCGGCUGGAAUUUCUUAUGGUUCGUUUCCUUAGGUUAAAGUUUCAGAAGUAGGAUUUUUGAAUUAAAGAAACUAAGUACUGUCUAUGGCACUUGAUACAUCUUGCCAGGCAGUUAUCAGACAGGGUUGUACUGGUUUGCGCCACCCCAGAACGUGUGCAAGGCCUGUUUGUGGACCCUCCUUGGCCUGGCUGUCUAGGUCAUCCACCUGCAUGUGCUCACAGAGCAUAUGGAUUUUUCCCUGCGGUGCCUUGUGGCUGGAAGAGGCUUCUCUGUGAUCCUGUGUCCUGGGUGCUCUGUUGGCCUCCUUCUUGCCACUGAGGAGGACAUGGAGGCCAGAGAGGGCUCACUGAACAGCGAAAUGAUUGGAACCUAAGGAGCUUCAGCAGAAGGUGUCAUGAUGGGGCUAGGCUCUCCCGAGGGCUGUGUGGCCUCAGCGUCUUGUUGGGCAGAUCCUGCUCCCUGACACAGCAGGGCUAAGAGCCAGCCUGUGUCACACACCUGUGAAUUAACAUGCCUGGCUGACCCUCACUGGAGAAGGGCUACACGUUUGUGACGAAAGCAGAAGAGGUGUUUAUUGUAGACCAAAUCCAAGCUGUCAUUUUACUUCUAUUAGAAAUUCUUUGGGAUUUGGCUCAUGCCUAUAAUCCCAGCACUUUGGGAGGCUGAGGUGGGAGAAUCACCUGAGCUCAGUCGUUUGAGACUGGCUUGGGCAACAUAGUGAGACCUCAUCUUCUACUCAAAUUUAAAAAAUUAGCCGGGCGCAGUGGCAUGCACCUGUACUCCCAGCUACUCGGGAGGCUCAGUUGGGAGGAUCACUUGAGCCCAGGAGGUGGAGGCUGCAGUGAGCCCAGAUAUGCUCAUGAAGCACUGUGGGUUUCUCCUGCAGUGCACCACCGCACUCCAGCCUGGGUGACGGAGAGAGACCCCAUCUCAACAAAAAUAGAAAAGAAAAUGGGACACUGUUGAUACAGUCACAGAGCUGAAGGAGCAGCAUGGGUCGUGAUUCUGGAUCGUCCCUCCGGGGCAGCUAGAGUAGCUGCUGGGAAGUAUUUCUCAGUUUCCCAGUGCGCCCCAUGUUUCUAGUAGAAAACACAAUUGGUAAUUAAAUAUUGGAAGUAGUUUCUAACAAUUGGAUACUCACCUGAGAACAUAAAUUUGCUCUCUGAAAUAAGCGGUGGGCGUUAUAUAAUUGCCUUUGUGAAUAUGAAAUUUAAGUAUUAGAUGCACUAUUAGGCUCGAUUGUGACAAAACAGUGAUAUCUAAAAUAUACCUUCAUGUUUUCAAAGC